rnacentral:rRNA from 1 species
AUUGAACGCUGGCGGCAGGCCUAACACAUGCAAGUCGAACGAGUGGCGGACGGGUGAGUAAUGUCUGGGAAACUGCCCGAUGGAGGGGGAUAACUACUGGAAACGGUAGCUAAUACCGCAUACCAUCGGAUGUGCCCAGAUGGGAUUAGCUAGUAGGUGGGGUAACGGCUCACCUAGGCGACGAUCCCUAGCUGGUCUGAGAGGAUGACGAGCCACACUGGAAUCGAGACACGGUCCAGACUCCUAGGGGAGGCAGCAGGGGGGAAUAUUGCAGAAUGGGCGGAAGCCUGAUGCAGCCAGGCCGCGUGUAUGAAGAAGGUCUUGGGGUUGUAAAGUACUUUCAGCGAGGAGGCGAUACGCGCAGAAGAAGCACCGGCUAACUCCGUGCCAGCAGCCGCGGUAAUUC